rnacentral:rRNA from 1 species
GUAGGGAAUAUUGGGCAAUGGAUGAAAGUCUGACCCAGCCAUGCCGCGUGCCGGAUGAAGGCGCUCAGCGUUGUAAACGGCUUUUAUUCGGGAAGAAGAGCAGGGAUGCGUCCCUGUGUGACGGUACCGAAUGAAUAAGCACCGGCUAACUCCGUGCCAGCAGCCGCGGUAAUACGGAGGGUGCGAGCGUUGUCCGGAUUUAUUGGGUUUAAAGGGUGCGUAGGUGGCCAAAUAAGUCAGUGGUGAAAUACGGUUGCUCAACAAUCGAGGUGCCAUUGAUACUGCUUGGCUUGAAAUAAUUGGAGGCUGCCGGAAUGGAUGGUGUAGCGGUGAAAUGCAUAGAUAUCAUCCAGAACACCGAUUGCGAAGGCAGGUGGCUACGAUUUAUUUGACACUGAGGCACGAAAGCAUGGGGAGCAAACAGGAUUAGAAACCCCGGUAGUCC